GUUGUUGCCAGUUAGAAUGCCAACUGCUCCGACGUUUAUGAAUCACCAAGGAGCACUUCGGAAAUUUUAACAACCUAGGAGAGUAAACUCUUGCAAAGUAUAAAGGGAACUAAGGCUCUAAGAUGGUGUGGCUGAGUGAGUGAGUGGGAAUGCCACACACAGAAGAACGCAUGCUUCUCUGCGCUAACGAGCGUGUGUGGCACGGCACAGCAAAUUGGCUUAAAAAUGGGAGGAUAAUGAAUAAUAAUUAUGAAAACAACGUGGUUCGAAAAUACACACUUAUCCGAGGCAAGCGUAUACAUAAGUAUCCCUGAGGGCCUCUGCUGUCGGCUGUUGGGAGGAUGGGGAAAGCAUCUCCCGAGAGUGUCAUGUGUGAGCCCCUACUAAGGGGUCCUCAGAAUGUGGCAGCGGCUGGGUGUUGACAUGAUGCCGGACUAAGUAACUUAAGACCAUAUGUAAGCAAGAUGGCAGCAUUGCAGAAAUUCACAGACAAAAAAGAUGGGAAAGGAGAGGCAUCUGGCUCUAACUAAUGAAGCAGGGAUAGUUUCUGCCACGUGCUUCUAAUGUAAUAUCAAACUUCUUACACAAAGUCAAGAGACACUGCUCCCUGGCAACACCUGUCUCCAACCGUCCCUGGCAACUGAAAGGGGACCCACAUCCGGACUAUGUGUGACUUGUGGCAUCUGGCAAUUCUGUGAAGUGCCUUUGUCCCACAAACCUCGAUGGUGGAGAAAAUUCCAGGGAACGAAGGCGAUGUGUCUUCAGUUUUCUGAGUGUGAACGCUCACCUUAGAUGGAUGACUUGUGCCUCAAAUAAGCAAUUAAUCACCCUUAAAUUUCUCAACAUCCUGAACUGCUGGCUUUAGCUCACUCUCCAGAGAAGCAGUCUCAGCAAAGCAGCCAUACAAAAAAAGAGCCUUGCCAGGUGUGGUGGCUGGAUAUGCUUGGCCCAGGGAGGGGCACUACUAGGAGGUGUAGCCUUGUUCGCGAGUGGGUGUGGCCUUGUUGCUGGGAACAUUGACAUGCUUCCUGCCAUGAUGACAAUGGACUGGACUUCUGAACGUGUAAGCUAGCCCCCGUUAAAUGUUUGCCUUGGUCAUGGUCUCUCUUUAUAGCAAUAAAACCCAAACUAGGACACCAGGUGUGCACACACAGGAGGUGCUCGGUUAGCACUAAAUAACUGCAGGAGAAGCACAAGAACACCUGAGCACCGACCCUGUGCCGAGUCCUGCCUUGCACUGGCUAGUCAUACCCAUUCCGCCCACAAGAGGGCAGUGCUACUCCACAGCAGGCAGGAUAGGGCGCCACUCCCAUCUGGCAUGGGAGCUCCUGCUGGCCUUUUCUAGAAUAUAAGUCCCUUGAUCCACAGUAAAGUCUCUAAAGAAAGACACUGGUGGAUUCACCUUGCUUUCUUAAUGGAGUCACAGACACUUCCCAGCAGAGGGGAAGCUAGACCAGUCUCUGACAAGCAUGGAGCAGUCUGCUUGGCAUGCCCAGGGAGGAAACCAUAAGCUUAGGUGGAAACUCGCAGGGGGGUUGCUGACAGCAUUGUCUGCCACAUGGGUGUACAUAGGAGUCAGGGCAGUCAAGUGGGGGAGUUUUGAGGGCACAGACCAAGGUUCAGGUCUUGCUCGGCCCCUGAGAAAUCUCGGUCCCUUUUAUCUGUGUGUUCUUGACUUAAGAAAUGGGAAUAAACAAAACAUUU
rnacentral:lncRNA from 1 species